rnacentral:rRNA from 1 species
GGGGUAUCAGUAUUCAGUUGUCAGAGGUGAAAUUCUUGGAUUGACUGAAGACUAACUACUGCGAAAGCAUUUGCCAAGGACGUUUUCAUUAAUCAAGAACGAAAGUUAGGGGAUCGAAGAUGAUCAGAUACCGUCGUAGUCUUAACCAUAAACUAUGCCGACUAGGGAUCGGGUGGUGCUACUUUGCCCACUCGGCACCUUACGAGAAAUCAAAGUUUUUGGGUUCUGGGGGGAGUAUGGUCGCAAGGCUGAAACUUAAAGGAAUUGACGGAAGGGCACCACCAGGAGUGGAGCCUGCGGCUUAAUUUGACUCAACACGGGGAAACUCACCAGGUCCAGACGUAAUAAGGAUUGACAAGUUAGAGACUUCUCUUGAUCUUACGGGUGGUGGUGCAUGGCCGUUUUUAGUCCUUGGAGUGAUUUGUCUGCUUAAUU